CCUGCAGCUCGCAGCUGAGGGCAGGUGCAGGAGGGGCACUGCCCGUUGGCAUCUGCCUCUGUGGCGCAGAACCCUCUCGACGGGGCACAGGCUGGUGGCAGGAGAAGCUACUGAAGAAGUUGUUGAUGCAUUUUCCCAGUCCUUCUCCCCAUUUCGACUGCCGCAACGACUUGGAGACAAGAAGCCUUCUACAGACUCAGAUCUAAAUGUUAACCUAGGUUUUUUCAAAAAUAUUACCUGAAGCUGAAGAAUGAGCUUGGGGGCGUGAAU